rnacentral:rRNA from 1 species
GAUGAACGCUGGCGGCGUGCCUAACACAUGCAAGUCGAACGAAGCACCUUACCUGAUUCUUCGGAUGAAAGUUGGGUGACUGAGUGGCGGACGGGUGAGUAACGCGUGGGUAACCUGCCCUGUACAGGGGGAUAACAGCUGGAAACGGCUGCGAAUACCGCAUAAGCGCACGAGGAGACAUCUCCUUGUGUGAAAAACUCCGGUGGGACAGGAUGGGCCCGCGUCUGAUUAGCUGGUUGGCAGGGGAACGGCCUACCAAGGCAACGAUCAGUAGCCGGUCUGAGAGGCUGCACGGCCACAUUUGAACUGCGACACGGUCCACACUCCUACGGGAGGCAGCAGUGGGGAAUAUUGCACAAUGGGGGAAACCCUGAUGCAGCAACGCCGCGUGAGUGAAGAAGUAUUUCGGUAUGUAAAGCUCUAUCAGCAGGGAAGAUAAUGACGGUACCUGACUAAGAAGCUCCGGCUAAAUACGUG